UAGAAAUGGGAUUAGGGUUCAGUAUGUGACCUUUCAGCUUUCAAUCAGAUCUCCUUCUUCCCUUUCUUGUGAGCAGUGGCGGCAUCGGGUUCUUCAUCCCAUUCUUCUCUGAUCGAAACAUUGCGACGCUACCGGCCGGCCACCACCGAACAAACCAUCUCACCCUCUCCGAUUGUUCCAUCUCCGUCUCGCACUCUUCUCUUCGUCCUCAGCUCUCAUCUCUCUCCGUUGAAGACGCUUCAACCGCGUCGUUGCUGACGAUGGAGUUUCAGAUGCAAGCCAAUCGAGAAAUAUCCUCGGUUGCAUAUGAUCUAUGAUGACGAGAUAGUGUGUUGAUGAUGAUGAAGAUGAUAACCGAAAAACGAAAGGGAGAUAUUAGGAGAUGAAGGUUCUUGUAGGUUGAUUGAAAGAUUAUUGAUGAUGAUGAAGCUGCGGUAGCAUGAUGAUGGAGCUGAAGAAGGAUUCUGAAUCGUGACCAGAAACAAAGGAAAUUCAAGAUUGAAACGCUGGUUGAUGGAAGAAGAUGAAGCUCGUGAAAGAGGAGAGGUUUAAAUUCAGAUUUCUAUUGAGAAUUGGUUAGAGGUUCUCUGAGUUUUUUUUGUUACGCCUUUUUUGUUCAUCUUCCUCUCAUCCUUUUGGUUCUGUUUUGCAAGGUUUUUUGUUGUGAUGAUUGGAGGAUGAAGAUGAUGAUUUCAGAAGAUUGAAAGUGUGGAGAAAGAAAAGUGGUGUGGAGAUGGAUGAUCAUGAAGAUUCAGAGAGAGUUUGUGGAGAAAUGGUGAAGAAUGAAUCGAGAGGGGAGGUGAAGAAUGGCUCAAGGCUCUGAUUUAUAGAGAUUCUCAGGGUGUUUGAUGCUGUGCCAAAUUUCUGUGAUGUUGAUUCCGUUUCUUAGAAUUGCAGGGUUGGAAGGGUGUGGAUUAUGCAAGCCUAUGGCUCUCGUGCCAAUGGAGCAGUCAUCGAUAGCUGUGGCGUGUCUGAUAGCUGUUGAUGAACGUAUCAUAUGCAUGUGUUCCGGCAUCGAAAACCGCAGCGGCACUGUGUUUAUAUUGGAAGCCAACGAAGCUCGUCCUUGUGAUGAUAAAAAAAUGGAUGGUGAUGACAUAUGAUGCACACGUUCCUUGCUUUGUAACUUUGGAAAUUGUAAAGAGUGUUUUAUUUAUUUAUUUUAUAAGGACUCUGCUCCUGACUUGAAAAUGUAACGAGUAUGGCUUGCACAUGUAAUGGUACUUUACUCUUCACAUAUGACAUUUGAACUUCAGGUUUUCUUCAAUGCUUCAAUCUAAAUUCCCCAAAUAUUUUUCCA